rnacentral:lncRNA from 1 species
ACAACUAUGCCAAAUCUUUAGGGAGACAUAUGAGGUAGCACCCUUCUUGGCAAGCCAAUCUGCACACUCGUUGCCUUCUCUAAGAGUAUGAUGGAAAGCAAUAGUUCAAUCCAUGUUUUGGAAUUGUCUAAUUUUCUUGAUGAGAGGAGCAUAAGGAUGAAGAGGAGAGAUAUCAUGUUCCACCAAACCAAUUGCAAUUGUAGAAUCUGAUUCAAUAAUCACAUUGUUGAAACCUCGGUCCAUUGCUAAGCAAAGACCGUUGUAAAUGGCAUGAAGCUCGGCUUGUAAGCUAGUAGCAA